rnacentral:rRNA from 1 species
GACGAACCGUGCGAACGUUAUUCGGAAUCACUGGGCUUAAAGCGCGUGUAGGCGGGACGGCACGUCGGUCGCUGAAAUCCCCCGGCUCAACCGGGGAACGGGCGCCGAUACGACCGCCCUGGAGGGGCGUAGGGGGACCUGGAACUUCCGGUGGAGCGGUGAAAUGCGUUGAGAUCGGGAGGAACACCCGUGGCGAAGGCGGCCAACUGGGCCGGACCUGACGCUGAGGCGCGAAGGCGUGGGGAGCGAACGGG